rnacentral:rRNA from 1 species
UACGAAGGGGGCUAGCGUUGUUCGGAUUUACUGGGCGUAAAGCGCACGUAGGCGGAUCGUUAAGUCGGGGGUGAAAUCCUGGAGCUCAACUCCAGAACUGCCUUCGAUACUGGCGAUCUUGAGUCCGGAAGAGGUGAGUGGAACUCCUAGUGUAGAGGUGGAAUUCGUAGAUAUUAGGAAGAACACCAGUGGCGAAGGCGGCUCACGGGUCCGGUACUGACGCUGAGGUGCGAAAGCGUGGGGAGCGAACAGG